rnacentral:rRNA from 1 species
AUGGCGAUGAGGAUAAAGUACCUCUUGCAAGCACAUGGUGCAUGGGGUGUUAUUGAUCGUGAGCGCUCGUCCAAGGAGGUUGAUGAAAGCAAGGAGGAGCUAGCCAUGACAAUCAUGUCACAGUCAAUCGACGACGUGACGCUACUACGAGUUGCGGAAAAGGAGUCCACGUCUGAUGUAUGGGCGGCACUACGCUCUAUGCAUGUGGGUCUUGAGCGCGUCCAAGAGUCAUGGAUCCAGUCCUUGCGCCCUGAAUUUGAUAACCUCAAGAUGGCUGAUGGAGAGUCUAUGGAUGAUUUUUAA